rnacentral:rRNA from 1 species
GAUGAACGCUAGCUACAGGCUUAACACAUGCAAGUCGCGGGGCAGCAUGGUGGUUGCUUGCAAUCCUCGAGGGCAACGGGGGCACGGUUGAGUAACGCGUUUCCAACUUGCUUUUAACGACGGGUUAAACCGGCGAAAGUGUGACUAUUACCGUAUGUUGUAUAUUAAGCGCAUUCGAUGUUGGCAAAUGGUGUGGCUGUGAGAUGUGGGUGUGCGUUAGUAUAGCUGGGGGGCGGGGUGACGGCACACCGUGGCGACGAUCGAUAGGGGUUCUGAGAGGUAGGUCCCCCACACUGGUACUGAGACACGGACCAGACUCCUACGGGAGGCAGCAGUGAGGAAUAUUAGUCAAUGGGCGUAAGCCUGAACCAGCCAAGUAGCGUGCAGGAUGACGGCUCUAUGGGUUGUAAACUGCUUUUAUGCGGGGAUAAAGUGAGCUACGUGUAGGUUUUUGCAAGUACCGCAUGAAUAAGGACCGGCUAAUUCCGUG